GAUGAACGCUGGCGGCGUGCCUAAUACAUGCAAGUCGAACGCAUAGCGAAAGGUGCUUGCACCUUUCAAGUGAGUGGCGAACGGGUGAGUAACACGUUGACAACCUGCCUCAAGGCUGGGGAUAACAUUUGGAAACAGAUGCUAAUACCGAAUAAAACUUAGUGUCGCAUGACACAAAGUUAAAAGGCGCUUCGGCGUCACCUAGAGAUGGAUCCGCGGUGCAUUAGUUAGUUGGUGGGGUAAGGGCCUACCAAGACAAUGAUGCAUAGCCGAGUUGAGAGACUGAUCGGCCACAUUGGGACUGAGACACGGCCCAAACUCCUACGGGAGGCUGCAGUAGGGAAUCUUCCACAAUGGGCGAAAGCCUGAUGGAGCAACGCCGCGUGUGUGAUGAAGGCUUUCGGGUCGUAAAGCACUGUUGUAUGGGAAGAACAGCUAGAAUAGGAAAUGAUUUUAGUUUGACGGUACCAUACCAGAAAGGGACGGCUAAAUACGUG
rnacentral:rRNA from 1 species